UGACCUGUAGCUCAAUUGGCAGAGCGCGGAGCUGUUAACUCCGAGGUUUCAGGUUCGACCCCUGAUAGGUCAG
rnacentral:tRNA from 1 species